AUCACACCUGAGCUCAAAGCCCUGAGGGAUUUCCAGGUGAUGAAAACACUGUGACAUCACAAGUGAAUUAUGCAAGUGUUCCCUACCUAGAGUAGGUAUGUAUGUAGACUUGGCCUUUGCUGAAUUGCAAAGCCAGAAGAAUCUCAGCCCCUUUUGGUAUUUAAAUUCCUCUUCCUUGCAGAUAUAGCCUCAAAAAUGUAAAAUGAUCAGGAGGGUUGGAACCUUCUCACCAAUCUCCUACAGAUCACAGGUUACUCACAGCAAACCAGCACUGGCCUUUAACGUCUAGAUACACCGUAGAGGUGCACUGAGGACUACAGUUAAGGCCGACACGCAGGAAUUUCGAGCUGGGCAUUGCACUGCAUCUUCUCACAUGUGCAGGCAAAACCAAGAUUAGCUGGGAACAUUCGGUGAGUUGGAGUUCACAUUGUCGGAAAGAGAAGAUGGAAACAAUCAAAGUCAUCUUUCAUGUCUGACUACAAACACACUGGAAGUAAAGUCAAGACAAAGUAA